AACGAACGCUGGCGGCAUGCCUAACACAUGCAAGUCGAACGAGACCUUCGGGUCUAGUGGCGCACGGGUGCGUAACGCGUGGGAACCUGCCCUUAGGUUCGGAAUAACUCCCCGAAAGGGGUGCUAAUACCGGAUAAUGUCUUCGGACCAAAGAUUUAUCGCCUUUGGAUGGGCCCGCGUUGGAUUAGCUAGUUGGUAGGGUAAAAGCCUACCAAGGCUACGAUCCAUAGCUGGUCUGAGAGGAUGAUCAGCCACACUGGGACUGAGACACGGCCCAGACUCCUACGGGAGGCAGCAGUGGGGAAUAUGGGACAAUGGGCGAAAGCCUGAUCCAGCAAUGCCGCGUGAGUGAUGAAGGCCUUAGGGUUGUAAAGCUCUUUUACCCGGGAUGAUAAUGACAGUACCGGGAGAAUAAGCUCCGGCUAACUCCGUG
rnacentral:rRNA from 1 species